GAUGAAGAACGCAGCGAAAUGCGAUAAGUAAUGUGAAUUGCAGAAUUCAGUGAAUCAUCGAAUCUUUGAACGCACAUUGCGCCCCCUGGCAUUCCGGGGGGCAUGCCUGUUCGAGCGUCAAUACAACCCUCAAGCUCUGCUUGGUAUUGGGCUCUGCUGGGACCGGCAGGCCUUAAAAUCAGUGGCGGCGCCACUCGGCUUCAAGCGUAGUAAUUCUUCUCGCUUCGGAGACCCGGGUGCGUGCUAGCCAGCAACCCCCAACUUUCUUAGGUUGACCUCGGAUCAGGUAGGGAUACCCGCUGAACUUAAGCAUAUCAAUAAGCGGAGGA
rnacentral:misc_RNA from 1 species